CCACGGAAGAAAAUUCUCUCUGAUCUUGAUACGAAUAGAACAGGAGGAUAACAAUGAUUCCCAGGGGCUGAAAACACAGGCCUCAGUGUCUUGUAUGGAAAGGCAAGAGGAGCAGUAACUGGGAGCAAAGGUUUCCCAGUUCUGGGUUUCACUGCUCAUUUCUCUCCUCACCGGCUAUAUGGCAGUUAGAUACUUCUGGGAUCCCCUUGCUGAGGAGCUUGCCAUAAAUGAGGACAAACUGAAGACUCACCCUCUAGUGUAUGUCUUCAUCCUUGGCAAUCUUGAGAGUGAGGAUUCCCCCCAUUUGCUAUCUGCCACUGGGCAGCACUCAUCUGAUGACUGCACUAAGCAAAAAGGGAAGGAACUAAUGGAAAACUGGGGGCAAAGCUGUUCUGUCCCCAAUCUUAUAGGUAGAAUCCCCGUAGAGGGGAGGUAGCAGAUAUUGUUGCUAUAAAAA